UGGUAUGUUUUUAUAAUAAAUUUAUUUUAUAUAGUAAAUCUGAAGAGGCUGUGGGAGCUAAAAAAUUUUGGCAAAUACUCAAAUGUGGAGUGUUAUUGAAGAAAAAAGUUAGAAGACUGAGAGCGUUCAAACAAGUAGAAGAAAAUAAAGUAAAAGUGGAUUAUCCCAAGGAAUCUGCCGA